rnacentral:rRNA from 1 species
UACGAAGGGGGCUAGCGUUGUUCGGAUUUACUGGGCGUAAAGCGCACGUAGGCGGAUCGAUCAGUCAGGGGUGAAAUCCCAGGGCUCAACCCUGGAACUGCCUUUGAUACUGUCGAUCUGGAGUAUGGAAGAGGUGAGUGGAAUUCCGAGUGUAGAGGUGAAAUUCGUAGAUAUUGGGAGGAACACCAGUGGCGAAAGCGACUUUCUGGGCCAUUCCUGACGCUGAGGUUCGAAAGCUCGGGGAGCAAACAGG